CUGACGUUAGCGGCGGACGGGUGAGUAACACGUGGAUAACCUACCUAUAAGACUGGGAUAACUUCGGGAAACCGGAGCUAAUACCGGAUAACAUAUUGAACCGCAUGGUUCAAUAGUGAAAGACGGUUUUGCUGUCACUUAUAGAUGGAUCCGCGCCGCAUUAGCUAGUUGGUAAGGUAACGGCUUACCAAGGCAACGAUGCGUAGCCGACCUGAGAGGGUGAUCGGCCACACUGGAACUGAGACACGGUCCAGACUCCUACGGGAGGCAGCAGUAGGGAAUCUUCCGCAAUGGGCGAAAGCCUGACGGAGCAACGCCGCGUGAGUGAUGAAGGUCUUCGGAUCGUAAAACUCUGUUAUUAGGGAAGAACAAAUGUGUAAGUAACUAUGCACGUCUUGACGGUACCUAAUCAGAAAGCCACGGCUAACUACGUGCCAGCAGCCGCGGUAAUACGUAGGUGGCAAGCGUUAUCCGGAAUUAUUGGGCGUAAAGCGCGCGUAGGCGGUUUUUUAAGUCUGAUGUGAAAGCCCACGGCUCAACCGUGGAGGGUCAUUGGAAACUGGAAAACUUGAGUGCAGAAGAGGAAAGUGGAAUUCCAUGUGUAGCGGUGAAAUGCGCAGAGAUAUGGAGGAACACCAGUGGCGAAAGCGACUUUCUGGUCUGUAACUGACGCUGAUGUGCGAAAGCGUGGGGAUCAAACAGGAUUAGAUACCCUGGUAGUCCACGCCGUAAACGAUGAGUGCUAAGUGUU
rnacentral:rRNA from 1 species